GAUGAACGCUGGCGGCGUGCCUAAUACAUGCAAGUCGAGCGAACAGACGAGGAGCUUGCUCCUCUGACGUUAGCGGCGGACGGGUGAGUAACACGUGGAUAACCUACCUAUCAGACUUGGAUAACUUCGGGAACCCGGAGCUCAUACCGGAUAAUAUAUUGAACCGCAUGGUUCAAUAGUGAAAGACGGUUUUGCUGUUACUUAUAGAUGGAUCCGCGCCGCAUUAGCUAGUUGGUAAGGUAACGGCUUACCAAGGCAACGAUGCGUAGCCGACCUGAGAGAGUGAUCGGCCACACUGGAACUGAGACGCGGUCCAGACUCCUACGGGAGGCAGCAGUAGGGAAUCUUCCGCAAUAGGCGAAAGCCUGACGGAGCAACGCCGCGUGAGAGAUGAAGGUCUUCGGAUCGUAAAACUCUGUUAUGAGGGAAGAACAAAUGUGUAAGUAACUAUGCACGUCUUGACGGUACCUAAUCAGAAAGCCACGGCUAACUACGUG
rnacentral:rRNA from 1 species